rnacentral:misc_RNA from 1 species
UUAAGUUCAGCGGGUAUCCCUACCUGAUCCGAGGUCAACCAUGGAAGAUGGGGGUUGCUGGCGGGAAGCUCGCCGAGGCCCAGUAGCGAGAGAAUUACUACGCUCUGGACCCAGCGGCGCCGCCACUAGUUUUAGGACCUGCCAUCGCUGGCAAGAGGCCCAACACCAAGCAGUGCUUGAGGGUUGAAAUGACGCUCGAA